UACGUAGGGUGCAAGCGUUGUCCGGAAUUAUUGGGCGUAAAGAGCUCGUAGGCGGUCUGUCGCGUCGGCUGUGAAAACCCGAGGCUCAACCUCGGGCCUGCAGUCGAUACGGGCAAACUAGAGUACUGCAGGGGAGACUGGAAUUCCUGGUGUAGCGGUGAAAUGCGCAGAUAUCAGGAGGAACACCGGUGGCGAAGGCGGGUCUCUGGGCAGUAACUGACGCUGAGGAGCGAAAAGCGUGGGGAGCGAACAGG
rnacentral:rRNA from 1 species